AGCUGGCGACCGGCGCACGGGUGAGUAACACGUAUCCAACCUGCCUCAUACUCGGGGAUAGCCUUUCGAAAGAAAGAUUAAUAUCCGAUAGCAUAUAUUUCCCGCAUGGGUUUUAUAUUAAAGAAAUUCGGUAUGAGAUGGGGAUGCGUUCCAUUAGUUUGUUGGGGGGUAACGGCCCACCAAGACUACGAUGGAUAGGGGUUCUGAGAGGAAGGUCCCCCACAUUGGAACUGAGACACGGUCCAA
rnacentral:rRNA from 1 species